UACGAAGGGGGCUAGCGUUGUUCGGAUUUACUGGGCGUAAGCGCACGUAGGCGGGAUCUUAAGUCGGGGGUGAAAUCCUGGAGCUCAACUCCAGAACUGCCUUCGAUACUGGCGAUCUUGAGUCCGGAAGAGGUGAGUGGAACUCCUAGUGUAGAGGUGGAAUUCGUAGAUAUUCGGAAGAACACCAGUGGCGAAGGCGACACACUGGCCCGUUACUGACGACUGAGGCGGCGAAAAGCGUGGGGAGCAAACAGGG
rnacentral:rRNA from 1 species